UCCCGGAUGGCUCAGUGGUAAAGCAUCUGCCUGCCAAUGCAGGAAACGCAGGUUCGAUCCCUGGGUCAGGAA
rnacentral:tRNA from 1 species